CGCAGGCGGCCAGGUAAGUCGAAUGUGAAAGCCCCCCGGCUCAACUGGGGAGGGUCAUUCGAUACUGCUUGGCUUGAAGGUAGGAGAGGGAAGCGGAAUUUCAGGUGUAGUGGUGAAAUGCGUAGAUAUCUGAAGGAACACCAGUGGCGAAGGCGGCUUUCUGGCCUAUUCUUGACGCUGAGGCGCGAAAGCUAGGGGAGCGAACG
rnacentral:rRNA from 1 species